UAAAGUAAAAGUAGAAAAACAUCGGGCCCUACACACCCUAACGGGUUCCUGAGAGGUGGGGAAUGCCCGUCCCACUUACUUUA
ncrna:unclassified sequences skipping-rope RNA